GAGUAACAGAAAACAACAUCAUCAAACGAGAUCAAGUAACGGAAAACUUGAUCAUCAACCAGGAUCGAAAAAUUCAAUUAUCUUCAUCUCCUCCUUUGGAGACAGAACUCUUGAUCAUCAACCAUAACUUCUCUUUGCAUAGUAGUUUGACUGAUCCAGAAUUUGCACCGUAUAAGAGAAAACGUGGCCUCAAAAUUACAAAAACCUUUUGCACGAUUCAAGAGAAAUCAUGUGCAUCAGUUUGCAUAACCUCCACGGGCCAAAAACAAAACUCACGGCAAAAGCAAAAACUCACGGAACAUGCACAGUGGCCUUGCACCGUGACGUUGAUGCAACAGGAUUUGCUACCUGUUUUAUUUUAAGUUUCGAAGGGGUCUUUCAAAAAAAUGAACGUAACGAUGGCCACUGAACCCUUAGCUUCAACUCGUUGACGAAUCUACAUAACAUGGACUAUGAUCUAGAGAGAUGAAGCAACCCCCGUUGAGCAAUGAAUCGCUACGGAUAGAUCAACCUGGCUCUGAUACCAUGUUAGAAUUUGUGAGAGCAUAGAAUGGAGAGUGGAGAGAGAAGAAGAGAGAACACGACAUUUGCGUGGUUCAGGCCCAAGACUUACGUCAACGGAUCCAAAGCCCAACGGGCUACAUCUUCACUAUUUUUCGAUGAAUGUUUACAUCAAGAAGUACCCGAGAAAUCCAUAUCCUAACAGGAAGUGGGCAUGCUUGCUCAACUGAUCUGCCACUAUGAAGAUAAUUAUUGUCUUCCCAUGUGAGUUUCGACACUGUUCAUGAAGUCCAUUGAGAUAUCACUCCAGUCUAUGUGGGAAUAUGGAGGGGUUAUAAUAUACUUGGGGACCCUACUAUCUCUCUCUUUUGCCUCUGACACACGUCACAUUCAACUACAGAUUUGUAUGUGUCGCUUGAUCCCUCUCCAAUAAAAGGACUUAAACCUUCUCUUCUAAAUUUUGGGGAAUGCUGAAUGGCUCGCAAUAGGGGAUCUUUUGUAGCUCCUUGAACAAUAUGUUUCUAUAGAGGGAUUUAGGUGGCAACACCAUUCUACCCUUCAUUCCUCCAACUGCAAUUGGGCCUUGCCUUCCUAUGGGUUCUAUUUGCAGGUCUUGUGCAAGGUCCCUUAAAGUUCCAUCAACUGCCCAUUCUUACUUAAUUUCUUCCAUUCGAAGAGAUCGAGGCUUUGAUACACAGCAAGGAGAGUAGCUGCCACUUUGUGAUGUUGCGAGUGAGCAUCAGCCACCACAUUCUCCUUUCCUCUCAUAGUCGUGUAGCCCUUCUGACCUACUUUUGUCUCCAUCAUUUAGAGGUUCUUUGUUCCAAGAAAUAUUUUAUGCCCUGAUGAUAGGUAUGAAUGAUGAAUGAUAUGAGGCUCUAUUAGUCGACUAAGUAAGGCUUCCAUUUGGUAACUACAUGAAUAAUGGUUGGCAGUUCUAUAUCAUAGUUGUGGGAACCUUGGGGUUAAGGCCACGGUCCCACCAUAAGAACUCGAUCUCGUUGUUCCUUUGAGGGAUCUUAAAGGGAGCUGGAUUUAGAGAUAUAGGGAUCUUGCUCCUUAUGAAAUGGGAUAUCGGUUUUCAUGAUUGUAGAAUCCCUUCAAGGAGGUGAGAUAUAAUAUUAAACUAUGGUGCAUAUCACAUUGUGGUAUACUGGAAUUAUGGUAUUAAAAAACUAUAUGUUAAUAACAUAGUAAGCCAAUUUGUGAUAUCGUUAAACUAUGUUAUUGUAGUAAAUUGGAGUACUAUGACUAUGGCAUUAGUAAUAAGCAAAGGUGUAUGAUAAAGGAUUCAGCAAGCAUUAGCUCGAUCCUAAUUUUAUCAUAUGCUAUUAAUUGAUAUCUUUUUAUGUGUAGUGGAGCUUAGAUCCCUCCAAGUCAAAACCUUGAACCCAAUGACAUAGGAUCUCACUCUCAGGUAUCCUAGGAUCUAGCUCCUUAACAUGUUGAAUGUAUAUACGCCGAUCCUAACCAUAUGGAGCUUCCACCCUGUGGGGGUUCGGUGUUCCUCGAACCAAUCCCGCUUCUACUCCCGAACCCACUCCCGCCUCCAACAAAUAUAUUCUAUAUCAAUGUGGAAAGUGUUGUGCUGUUUCCAGAAAGAGCCUUACGAAUGCAAGCCAAGGGUUGCCCCUUUUAUAUGGAUACCAUGCCUCUUUUGUCCCUAAUCCGUAUGGCUCAAUGAUGAAUGGGUUUGAGAAGUAUUGCAAGGCUGAUACAACUACAGUGCUCUUCUCUCUCUUCAAGGCAUUAGAGGCAAACUAGGCCUUAUUUGAUUGAUCAGGGAGCUGAUUUUGCCAUAGUCCUUGACUAACUUCAUUCAAUCCAAUGAGUCUCGAAAACUUACUCUUUUCGAAAUAUCCUCCUCCUUUAUUUGGAUCUGAUGGUUUGAGACUUUGGGGAUCAAAGAUCAAGUUUGGAGAAGUGUUGAACUCCAUAGUGCUCACCUAGUAAUUCAUCAAUCACUGGUAUAAUUUAUCCUUGACCAUGAUUAAGUCCAAUGCUCUGAAGUCCACAGUCCACUUUCAUUCUCCAUGAGCCAUCCUUUUUUUUUUGUUUGACCAAGAGCACUUUGUGAGGCACAAGGGGCAUGACCCAGAAUGAUAAUGCCUACCCUGUCAUAUUCUGGACUUGCUUUCCAAUCUUUGCUUUUUGCACAAAUGGGCUCAUGCCGUUUUUUUUUGACCAAGAGCACUUGUGAGGAAUAAGGACAUGACCCAGAAGGAUAAUGCCUACCUCUGUCAUUUUCUGGACCUGCUUUCUAAUCUUUGAUUUUUGUACAAAUGGCCACAUAUGGCCGAAUGUUAGGUGAUGGGUUCUUGAAAAUAACGUAAUUGGAUGAUAAUAAAAGUGUUGGGGAGGCAACUCCAGUUCAGUUCAUCGAAUAGGUUGGUGAUGGGGUUCUUGGAAACAAAGUAAUUGGAUGCUAAUGGGAGUGUUGGGGAGGCAACUCCUUCAGUUCAUCUAAUAGGUUGAAAUGUUGCUCAUGUAAUGACACCACAGGUGCUCCACCUCUUUUAUGCACAGGUGGGUCACCUUCUUCUCGUUUUCCUUCUUUCUGAUUUUUGCAUCCAACAAAUAUAACUUCUGAUUUUUGCAUCAAUGUUGAGGGUUAUUUUAUUUACACAAUGGUAACAUUGACUAAUUCCUCGCCCUUCUCGCAUCUAGGCCGAUGAUGCUACUUGAUUUGUGGAAAGGGUUGCUGUGUAAGAGUUCUGGUUAUGGGAACUGCAAUUUCCUUUGUUUUGACAUUGUUGGGCCAUUAUUUUGUCCUGUUGAAGUCUAGCUAAACCAAUAGCCUCCAAUAAUAUUUUGUGCUUAAACAUACAUACGUCAAGCCUAAUCUAUUCAUUAAGAAUCAUAUAAAAACACUACAUCACUAAGACAGAUGGUACUAUUUGCUAACCUAUCUGAUUUUCAUGAACAGUGGAGGUUUGUCAUUUUGCUUCGUUAGGGCUCUUUUUAAUGUCCUCUAUUUGGCCUGGGGUGAACUUAUUGUAGAGAUCAUUGCUCAUAUUAUAGUAACUGUUGGUCCUUCAUUACCAUUGGUACCAUCAUAUUGCUUCAUGCUCCAACUGAAAGGAUGCCAAAUGGGCCGUUUGUUCUUCCUCAUGAUACACACUUGUUGGGUCCCCCUUUCGUUUUUUGUUUUCGGUGGAAGUUUGAUGUGGGCUUCCUAAAUGAUCACCGUUUUGUUCAUGGGUGAUUAGGAAUGUCGACUUCCUGUUGGACGUUAGGAAGGAGGUCAAAAUCGAGUUAUACUUUCGGACCAUGGCUUAUAUCGUGGUCAGGAUGUCUCCAAAUGAGUUGAGACUUCUUCAUCUCUUGCUCUUUCUUACUUCUUGCGAUUAGUUCCCUUGGCCCUGGUUGAGCAGAAGAUCCAUGGUUGAGCUCUGUUACCAGAUGCAAUGAUUCCCAAGAAGAAGCAAGCAAAAGAUAACGAUCAGAGAUAGACGAGCAUGAGAUAUUAUUGAACUAUAAGGAUAGAGUGGGCACAGGUCCCUUCGAGGGGGCAAUUCUCCUAGAGAGACAUUCUCAAAGUUCAUCCUACAGCAGUUCUUGUAGUCAUCGAGAGAAACUCCCCUUCAUAUAUCACCACUUCAGUCCUAAAUAACUCCUAGCCAUUUAUUGAAUUUUUACACUGGUCAGCUUUUCAAUUUCCAAGUUUCAAAGAAACUAAAAGACUCCUACCAAGCUAUUGAAUUUCACACCCCCAAAGUCGUCAAAGGCACCAUUACACUUUUUCCCACUUCUACUAAAAGACUCCUACCAAGCUUUCCUUUUUACAAUCUAGACUUCUACUUCAUAGAGAACAAAGGGUACGAAAGUUUUACAUUUGAUUCACCCUUUCAGCAAAUAUUUGUUUCAAAUCUUUGGAUUUGGAAGGUAUGGCAUAAUACAUCAUUACCAUGGACCAUGGUUCCUCGUAAGUUUCUUUCACUCUGUUCCUGCAGAUGAUGGUUGGAGAAUACCUGGGUUUAUGUCCUGAUGGUGAUCCACUACAAUUACAAACAGGGUGUCUUAACAUUAGGAAUCAGGCUUGGGCCAAGGCAGUAGCAGCUGGGUUUUUUUUGGACUACGUCUGAAGUUCCAUUCCUAUGUAACUUUGUCAAAAAAGAAAAAAAAAAACAGGGUAUAUUAACGUUGAAUGUUAUAAUCCAUUUGACUAUGGUGUAUAGUUGCAUGUUUAAAAUUCUCUAGCCCUGAUUUUUGGCCAAGUGCUUAUGUGCCCUACCAAAAUUUGAUGGAAUUUGGUAAAAAAAAAAAUUAUAUGCUCCUGCGGGAGCAUAUUGUACAUUCACUCGCCCAGGUAAAAUCCGUAUCUAUGAUGAGUAUUUUCAGGACACCGGGGUUUAACCACCUCAACCUACUGACUGACUAGCCUUCAAAAAACAGAAACAAAAUAACGCCAUCUAUGGGUGCAUAAAAAAAAGUCCUAACAUUGAUAGGAAGUACCCAAAUGUCGGACAGCCAGAUGAGUGUACAGAACCUCAAAAUUUGUUUCCUUUGACAAUGCUAUUUUGUUGCCAAUACUUAUUUGGUGAUUGUAAAGUGAAGGCCAUAUCAGUUCGACAAAAUCCUCCUAUGCGGUUUUUUUGCCCGAGGGAGAUAGUUUAGAGUGUGCAUUUGCUGGAGUACCCUGUAUGCUUCUAAAACUAGGGACUAAUUAUUUGGGCUGAGUUGCCAUAUAUUUUUUGUUGACGUGAAUAAACUGUUAUGUGCAUGUUCUGUGAAGAUCAAGCUUGCAUCAGUGAAAUUGGCAAAGAAAUAUAUCAAAAGGGUGGCUUCUGAACUGGGAGCUGCCAUGAGUCCUGAAGAGAAAGAGGAGUUGAUUGUGCACGGCGUCCGAUUUGCUUUCAGGGUGCAUCAGUUUGCAGGAGGUUUUGAUGUCGACACCAUGCGAGCGUUUCAGGAGCUGAGAGAAAAGGCUGGUUCUUGUCAUGCAGAGUGCGAUGUUCAGCAAAACAAGCUCGUGUGCAGCAGCAGCAGCAGGAGGUCUACACCUUGUUAAUCCUGCCUUUUCAUAACUUCUAACCCAUUUUUUUGUAAGUUAGGAAAUCUCUCUCUCUCUCUCUCUCUAUUCUGAGUUUCUUCAGUGCAACGGUCUGAGAUACACCUACUAUGUACUGCCCUUGCUGCACAGUCCAAUGCCCUUGAGCUUGGUCGAAUACUUUCAUCCUUUUUGUAGUGUUUGCAUGGGCCCAAUCUUGUAUAGAGCUACGUCAACCAUUCCGUUGCGGGCUCAAAUUCAGUGUUCCAUUCGUCUCUCUCUCUAGUCUCUACGCGCACCAUGUCGAGAUGCCGCUGAUGUAUCCUAUCAAGUGUUUACCCAUGUAAAUGGUGGUGUAAUGCACUUUAUGUAUCUUCCCCAUAUUAAUGGAAAUGGAUGGCGUUCCCUUCCC